AUUAUUCCAACAAAAGUUAUACUUCGUUGAAGUGCUAUAAGAAAAUUAUUGCUAGUUGAGCAAUUGAAAAUUGUAAUUAAAUAUACAAAGAUUGUAGUGCAGAUUGAGUGCAAUUGUUAAGGAAGCCAUUUUGAAAAUCGCUUUGCAUUUACUAAUUAUAAUUUGCGAUAAAUUAUAAGGUUAUUCCCGCUGGUCUCCACGGGUGCUAGUGCUGGUUCCGAAUUUGACAAAGAUCUGCGGUUCGAUAAACCACCCUGUGCGCAGACACCCCGCAAAUUGCACAUCCCUAUUUCUCUGUGGACGCUCACGCAAGCUUUCCCUUUGCCACGCGACAUCGGCCAAGGCUCCCUCGCAACAUAACUUUGAGCAUUCCGACUGGUUGCACAAUUGUCUGAUGACGUCAUCAUAACAUCGCACGUCUAAUCGCGCGCAAAGUGGAUCACGGUUAUGUUUGCCCCUGUUAGUUAGGCAACCCCAACAUACACAUCUUGGUAAACUAGAGCGUAGUGAGAAAACGGACCCUUCUCGACAACAGAGGUCCGGAGUUGAAAGGUGCGCGGUUCGGUGGACGACAAUUGCAACUGCACAGCCGCAUGCGCAUGCGAAGCAAGGCCACGUGGCAGCAGCUCAUCGGUGGAUUCGCGGAACCCUGGGGUUAUAGCCGGAAUAUUCAACGUGAUUUCGUGAAAUUUGCAGAUGGAAAAAGGUCAGAGAUUUUUAUUGUACAUAUUAUUAGCAUUAAGUAUCUAAAAUCUAGUGUAGGAAUCCAAACCAAAUAGUGGUGACGUCACCUUCAAGUGAGAUAGGCCUCUGUAUUGAAUAUUGGAACCAAUAAACAGGACUU